CCUACAAAUCUAGGUGUGUUUUGUCUGUUUCCAAGACACUGUGUUAAAGUCUCAGCACAGUACUUGGCAGGGGGGUAAGGGCUAAGUUGGUGGCAGUUAUUAUCUGCCUGAACCAGCUGAGAAGAAUUCUUGUUUAGAGGUGUUUGCUUCACCUCCCUGUCAGAGUAGUAACCCCCACCUCAUCACAUCAUUGGUCUUUCUCCUGCAAUCUUUGGGACUAACAGUCUACCACAUGGCCGACCUUUGUACGUAUCUCAAAUGGCACAGCUUUAUCCUCCUUAUAUUCCCAACUAUCAAUCUAUAUCUUUAUCCUCCUUAUAUUCCCAACUACCAAUCUAUAAUAAACUUAUGCCAAGGGAUUUAGGGUCCCUUUUGUGGUUCUUAAUUUCAUUAAGAAAUAACUUAAGAGGGAGCUCAAAUAGAAACAUUAGGAGAAUUUUAUCAGCGUUUAAAAGAAAACCUCCCAGAGCAGAGAAGCUGGAAAAGGACAAAACAGCCUUGCCAUUUAAGCUAGCAAGGAGGUCGACCAUUUGGCAGAUAAGCAGCCACAUGGUAGGGAGGGGGCUUUUAGAGAAAGAGAGAGGAACCCAUGACACAAAGUGAUCCUCUGACCUCUGCACACAUUCUGGGGUGCACAAACACAUGCACGGUAAUCCUAACAAACUAAUAUUAUUAACGGGAAAGAGAAAACAACAUGUCUGUUAUGUUUGUGAUGCUGUGAUCUAAAUCCCUGACAGAAAUUACAUUGCGAGGGGACUUCAGUUCGUUUCGAAGGGAGGAAGGCUGGCAGAGCAGCUCCUGUGGCGGCGGCGGCGGCGGCUGCAGCAGCAGCAGCAGCAGCACAGGGCAGUGGCUUGUUCACAUGAUUGCAGCCAGAAGCAGAAAAAACAGACGGAGAGGAGAGGAACGGAAGGCUCGAAAAUGAUGUCAGCCUGCCUUUUGAAGAUUGGAACAAUCGAAAAUGAUGUCAGCCUGCCUUUUGAAGAUUGGAACAAUGUUCUUUCUACCCCCUCUCUAGACUUCAGGUUUCAUUUUGAAGGAGAGGGAUUUGAUGAUGGAGUGUGACUGACCUAGACGGGUGCAGUAACUUAUGGGCCUUGGGAGAUCAGAGGACCACAAGUUUGAAGCCACCCUGAGAUGUACAGAGCAAGACCUCACCCAAGAAGGAAAAGAAAGCAACAUCUCAUAUGUGUGUUUUCCUAUGUUGGAACAGAGACCUCCAGAGUUAGUAAGUGCCUGUGCUCAGGAGAUUUGUCAGUAGAAUGGAGCCCAACUCUCUCCAAGGAAACCUUCGGAAGAGGACAUUUCAGAAAACAGUGUUUGAUGCUGCUGAGAGCAGUGACAUCUCUAGGGCUCAUGCCUGACUCAAAUAGCUGGUGUUAAAUGAUCACAGGUUCGCCCCAGAGACUCUCAGUUGAAGGCUCUGUAGCCACUCUCACCACAGAGCUGGUCUGGAUGUGGCUUCUUUCCCUUCUUUUUAGGAGGCCCUAUCGGAUUCAAGCUCUAUUCUUGCAUAAGGGACAUGGUGUUUACUGGGGUGGGAGAAGUCAAGUCCUUGGACCCUACCCAAGAAUGGGCCUCAGGGGGGCGACUUGCCCCCUUUUCCCCCACUAGAUUCCGAACUACUUAAAGUCUGCCAUGUUUCUUGGCUUUGUAAUAGUUUUCAUUACUUUGAAAAGUGUUACUCUCUUCAAUGUCUUCCUGCACAACUUACCUUCCUCUGCUCUCUGGAGCUCUGUCAUGACUUUGUUUUACUGUUGGCGCCACAGUUUCUUAAAUGUGUGUUAGGUUGUUUUUUUGUUUUUUCUUUCCCUUUUGUAUCUUUAGAUUAAAUUGAAUGAGUUCUUUGUCCCCAAG